UACGUAGGGUGCGAGCGUUAAUCGGAAUUACUGGGCGUAAAGCGUGCGCAGGCGGUUUUGUAAGCCAGAUGUGAAAUCCCCGGGCUUAACCUGGGAAUGGCAUUUGGGACUGCAAAGCUUGAGUGUGGCAGAGGGGACUGGAAUUCCUGGUGGUAGCAGUGAAAUGCGUAGAGAUCAGGAGGAAUACCGAUGGAGCGAAGGCAGGUCCCUGGG
rnacentral:rRNA from 1 species